GCCUUUCUCGGCUCUUCUCUCCCUCUUUAAAUUUUAUAAUAAUAAUAGAACCCUACCCCAUUUUAAGUGUUGUAACCCCUGAUCACCGAUACCCUGUCCAAAGUGACGUAGGGCCCCGUAACGUAUGUCAAGGCUCUGCCUAAAUUCGUUGGGGUUCUGUCUCGUGACGUAGGGAUAAAGUAGAAUUGGGUUACUAUACUUAAUGUGGGUACACUAUAUAUUAAAUAAUCCAGGAGUUGUACCCAAAAUAUAACAAACCUCCCGAAUAUUUUUCUGAUACCCUACACUUCCUAAAAUACACCCUGUAUGUGAAAACCGAGCCCGAAAUACAAUAUAGCAUUGAAAAUAAAUACAAAACAAGAAAUAAUAAGUUGAGGCGGGCCGCGUAGGACCUCACCUCAACUUAACGCGGGCCGUGUGAGGGUGUAACUUAACUCCGCUGAAUUCUUUAGUUCACGCGGGCCGCGUAUGAUCCCGUUUAAGUUCAUGCGGGCCGCGCGGACUCAUGAAACGCGGAUAUAUCCAGAGGUUGACACGUGUCAUGAUCGUGGCGGUCUAGUGAACGACUCAGCUAAGCUACCCUGUUGACCAGGGUUGACGCGGGCCGCGUAGGCCCUGCCCUAAUAUUACGCGGGCCGCGAGAGAACCAGAUCCAGCCCCUAUAAAUAGAAGCAAUCGGCUGUUCAUUCAGUUCGUUCAGAAUUUAUUUCUUUCUCUCAAUUCUAAAGUGUAGGCAUUAUACGCGGGUAUAAUACCCCCCUAAUUAGCGAAGCUCUGCCUCGUUACUAUAACCAGGGAAUCACAAAGGAAAGCCCUAUAAUAGCAAUGUGAGUAAUCCUUCUUUUUAUGUAAACCUUUUUGUGAGUAAUCCUUCUUUUUAUGUAAACCUUUUUGUGAGUUGAUCCACUUUUUGUUAAAUGUUUUUACAAAACCUUGCAUACUUUUCCAUGCAAAUGACAGUUAUUGAGUAUUUGUAAGGAUACAAUUAUGAUGGUAUAUUUGGGGUUUUGUAUACAAAAUUUGUUACCACCUGUGGAGAGGAGUAACAUGACCAUAAGUCGGGUAUCGACAGUACCAUGGAUGUUAAUUGGUAUUACCUAUAAACAAAUGUAAUUGCGGGAUCGCCCUCAAUACUGUUCUCUGUGACUUUUAUUUAAACCUGAUUAAACUAGGAUUCACUCACCAGUAUUUCCUGCUGAUAAAAUGUUUUUAAACACGUGUUUCAGGUAACUUAGUGUAAAGCCAAUAGAAGCCAGCUGGAGAGCACUGAAGGCUUGGAAAAGUGGCAAUAAAGUUACCUAAAAUAAAAUAGAUGUUUUUAUUAAAUAAAAUAGGAUUUAUUCCUAUGAAAAUGUAUGUACUGAAAAACUUGGGUUUUAUCCCAUGUGUUUAAUAUAAUGAAAAUGUGGUGGUUUUACUCUGAUAAAAUAUUUCCUAACUACGGUCCUGAUGAAAAAUUCCGCUGCUAAAUUAGACCAUAUCCGAUACCACCGAAACUGGCUCACGGCCGCCCGUUCCUGAGGGAUCGGGGGUUGUGACAGAAGGUGGUAUCAGAGCUAUGCCACUGGUUCAAGCCAAAGAAGUGUUUUGCUGACACUUAAGUUUUAAAUUCUGUGUUAGGAAAUUAAUAUAACAAUUUAUGUGUUAUUCUGUAAUAUGA
rnacentral:lncRNA from 1 species